rnacentral:rRNA from 1 species
CCUACGGGAGGCAGCAGUGGGGAAUAUUGGGCAAUGGGCGCAAGCCUGACCCAGCAACGCCGCGUGAAGGAAGAAGGCUUUCGGGUUGUAAACUUCUUUUAAGAGGGAAGAGCAGAAGACGGUACCUCUUGAAUAAGCCACGUCUAACGACGUGCCAGCAGCCGCGGUAAUACGUAGGUGGCAAGCGUUGUCCGGAUUUAGUGGGUGUACAGGGCGUGCAGGCGGGCUGACAAGUCAGAUGUGAAAUCCCGUGGCUCAACCACGGAACUGCAGUUGAACCUGGCGGUCUUGAGUAUCGUAGAGGCAGGCGGAAUUCGUAGUGUAGCGGUGAAAUGCGUAGAUAUGAGGAGGAACACCAGUGGCGAAGGCGGCCUGCUGGACGACAACGGACGGUGAGGCGCGAAAGCGUGGGGAGCAAACAGGAUUAGAUACCCUUGUAGUC